rnacentral:pre_miRNA from 1 species
CUCCACGGACCGGUUUAAUGUCAGACAAAAGUUUCACGGACCGGCCUUUAAGGU